GUCCGAGAGGAUAUCGGUACGCGGACCACCCUCUACCGGCAGUACCAAUGUUUUGAUCGGUACCGAGGCAUACCGACCUGUCACGGACUUAGCUGGUUUUGCCUAAGUCGUGCGGCACCGUUGCGUGUCCGUCCGCAAAGGUCAGUCUCCCCGAAACCUCCCAUGGUCCCUUAGGACCUACAAAAGAGAAAACAAGAUAGAGAAAGCGCCUCACUCGGGAUCCACAAGCAAACAUUUCGGAAAACACUUCAUAGCCAAUGCAAAUUACAAACAGACUUUACAAGCUCUAAGCGGUCCCACAAUAAAGGAUCCAAAAUGGUCCACUACAGACCGAAUACCUCUCACAAGUGUCCACAUGACACAACCUUUAUUUACAAGCAUAAAACGACUACCAAACCCAACUAAAAUAGGGUUGUUAAGCCUUCGACUGUCCCUCUACAUACUGUGCAACACAUGAACAAACCAAAAGACACGGACAUACAUAAGCAUUACGUUAAAAGCCCUGUUUACAGUUUUGUCCGUGACAUUCUCCCCCACUUAUUCCUUCAACGUCCUCGUCGAAGCCUUUGCCGACAUUGCAACUCCAUGCCUUUGCUGAGUCUUCAAUCUUCUGCUCCUGCUGCAAUGCGUCUCUUGGCUCCCAGCUGCUCUCCGCUGCUGUUGUUGAGUAGUCGAACUUUUGAUCUACCAUGCUGCUUCAACUCGCCAAUGACUUUGACUCUAGUGUGUGGUUGGCUGAGUUGUGUCGAUCCCUGUUGGUCCCUGCGGAUCUUUCAUAUGAAAGAAAAGACCAUCCUUACUAUACUUCAGUCUCUCAAAUGCCUCAUGCUGGUUAAACUGGGUGGAUGCUUGUUGGAGAUUUAAUGAGCAUCGCCUCGUAAACUUUUGAAGCUUUCGGGUCCUUCCUCCACAAAUUUUGCCUAUCGACUCUUCUUUCACUUAGUUGUCACUUCCAAGUAGGUUCGCAUCACUUCCGCUUUCGAUUAGCAUUCUCUUGGGAAAUGAAGCAGAUAAUCUACUCUCAGUAGCACUGAUCACCAUUGGUGAGGAUUUGACAAAUAUUGUUUUCCAUUUUGUUUCUUCGAAGGGGCUUUGAACAUAUGCAGAGCUCCUCUGCUGGAUAGCUAAGAGAAUUAGGGUACUCGGUUUCGGCCAUUCUCUUAAGAGUUAAGAAGGCAAAGGGUAUUUGACUUCGCCCGCCUCCUCGAAGGUUGUACUCCACGCAUCGAGUUGGUUACUCAAUACAGUCCCCGCUGCGCCCCUCAAGGCCUAGCAACAUACUGAACUGGCUGCACACUUCAGCCUCCUAUAGACGUAUCCUUCUCAUGCUAAAGAGAAAGUUUCAAUGCUCUAUUGCAUUGAGUUUCGGUCGCAUUGGGAUAGCCACGAACACUCCAUCGUUCGCAUACAAGCCUUUACAUGAGUACCGAAUUCUUCGAGUUAGCAAUUCCCCUCACCUCUGUGAGCUUUGCACAACUCUUUCGGUCACUGAACAACUCAUUCUACCUUACAUAGUCUCAUCCUUUACCAAGUGCCUCGCUUGCCUUAAGCACCAUCAAGUAUGGUUGUCAACGUUAAGUCGUAGCUCAAACUCAACCAUCCUAGCCUUUGUGCCCUACGCAUUCUUCCCAACUUGCUUAUCCUCGUGGUGCCUCUUGCACGAAGGGUUGGUCAUUCCUCUGAAUGCCAAUCUCAAAUACCCGCUCCUCUGAGCGACUCCUUUUCCGGACCUCUCCAUGCUCGCUUUCCCCUAAACGGUCGCGCGUGCGGGCUGCCCUCAAUGCAGCCCCGCUAAGUCUCCCACGUUUGCAUGUCAAGUAUUUCUAUGAGUACUUGUCCCGCUCUGAUACCAUCUGUCAUUGACUUAGUUGGUUUUGCCUAAGUCGUGCGGCACUGUUGCGUGUCCAUCCGCAAAGGUCAGCCUCUCCGAAACAUCUCAUGGUCCCUUAGGACCUACGAAAGAGAAAACGAGUUAGAG
rnacentral:lncRNA from 1 species